CUGAAGUUUGCAAGCACUGUACUAAAGUGAUAAACGGCCAUUCUCGUCUACCGUAGACAUCUGUGGAUUUUAGCACAGAGAUAAGAGUAAUUAUGUCUGGACUGGGAAAUACUUCAUGGAGAAGGUGCCAUUUUUAAGGAAGCCUCAAGCUAGAUAAGCCAGAGAAAAGCAAUUCAGGCAGAGUACUGUGUACCCAAAGGCACAUAGGCAUGGAUUAGCCUGGCCUUUGGAGGAGUCUAUAAGUAGUUCUGCGGGAGGGUCCCGGACAUGGCAGGGAGAUUAGGACGGAGAUGGAGGCAGGCGCCUUGAAUGCCAAGUUUCAAGCAGGGAACUGAUAACCUGGUGUCUAAAGUGUGUAGAGAGAAUCGUGGAAGAAACUUCAGGAGAGGAAGAAACAAGGCCAUCAAAACCUUCAAAGCGAAAAAGGAAUAAUGUUGAGUUGGAGAAUGCUCCCUCAUCUAUAAAAUAUGUGCACCAGCCGUUCUUGUGUGCUGAGUGUGUGUGAGGCACCAGACUCUUAACACACCUUAUCUCAUUUGAUCUUCAUGAAACCGGGUGGCAUUAUCAGUUGCAUUUUGUCAAUGAGGAAGCUGACUUUCAGAGAGAUGAGAUGAUUUACCUGUGGUCACCGUGAGGAGGCCACAAUCAGAAGCCCAGACAGAAAAGAGCAUGAUGGACUAUGGCCUGGGGCCUUCAACAACCAGGAAAAAGAGAAGCCCAGAAAAGAGACAGAGGAGUGGCCAGUGAAAUGAGGAAGAUCAGAAAAGCCUGAUGUCCAGGAAGCCAAGUGAAGAAAGUAGAUUCUGUGUGAUCACAACCACAUGUCAACUCCUGAGCCUCAGUUUUCUCAUCCAUGAAAUGGUGAGAGUAACAACUGCCCACUUUAUGGUGUUGUUAGGAUUGAGGCAAUGUAUGUAAAGCAGUUAACACUUGUGUCUGACUGGUAUAUAGGAAACUCUCAGCCUAUGGUAGCAUUGUUAUUAUUUCCUCCACUUCAGAGUAGGCUGCCACAGCCCUCAGCUUCCCCAUCCACAUAAGUGACAGCACCUCCAUGAGUCCUUCUCAGAAAUGAAGUGUCCCUGCUCACUCAGGCAACCAGGUGGGCCUGACGAGUGGCCUCUGGGUCAAAUUUGAACCAAGUGACUUCAGUGCCUAAACCUCUCACCCACACAGCUUCCAGCCCUUACUUACAAAUCAACAAGUGGUAAAUAAAGGUUUUAGAGCCAGAAUUCUGCCUCUGCCUCUCACCAGCUAUGGGAUCCUAAGCAAGCUUCUUAACCUUCCUGAGCCUUGAAUUCUAUCUAUA